AUACGGAGGAUCCGAGCGUUAUCCGGAUUUAUUGGGUUUAAAGGGUGCGCAGGCGGCCAUUUAAGUCAGCGGUUAAAUCGUGGGGCUCAACCCCAUUCUGCCGUUGAUACUGGGUGGCUUGAUUGCGGUCGAGGUUGGCGGAAUUCGUUGUGUAGCGGUGAAAUGCAUAGAUAUGACGAAGAACACCGAUUGCGUAGGCAGCUGACCAGACCGCAAAUGACGCUCACGCACGAAAGUGCGGGGAUCGAACAGGAUUAGAUACCCUGGUAGUCCGCACAGUAAACGAUGAAUACUUGUUUUCGGCGAUAUAAUGUCGGAGGCAAAGCGAAAGCGAUAAGUAUUCCACCUGGGGAGUACGCCGGCAACGGUGAAACUCAAAGGAAUUGACGGGG
rnacentral:rRNA from 1 species